CGACGGGGAUGGCCCAAUUGCAACCUUUGCCCCCUUUGCAAGCAACUUCCAGAGUCUGUUGCCCACCUGCUAUUUCAGUGUAGAUUCACGAAUAGAGUUUGGAACGAGAUUACCGUUUGGCUGGGAAUCCACGACUGCUCACCAAUGACUUGGCGCAAUGAAGUUUCGGUUCGAACUUGGUGGCAAAAGGCGGUGAGAAACGCGGAUCAUAACAGAAAGGCUCUUGCCUCUGUUAUGAUGCUUGUUUCAUGGGAAAUAUGAAAGGAACAAAAUGCCAGAAUUUUCGCAACGCUGUGGCUCCGGCCGUAAUUUUCGUCACGAGAAUUAAAGAGCAGGCCCAUCUUUGGACCUUGGCUGGGGCCAAGAAUUUGA
rnacentral:rRNA from 1 species